rnacentral:rRNA from 1 species
AGUGAACGCUGGCGGUAUGCCUAACACAUGCAAGUCGAACGGCAGCACAGUAAGAGCUUGCUCUUACGGGUGGCGAGUGGCGGACGGGUGAGGAAUACAUCGGAAUCUACUUUUUCGUGGGGGAUAACGUAGGGAAACUUACGCUAAUACCGCAUACGACCUACGGGUGAAAGCAGUGGAUCUUCGGACCUUGCGCGAUUGAAUUAGCCGAUGUCGGAUUAGCUAGUUGGCGGGGUAAAGGCCCACCAAGGCGACGAUCCGUAGCUGGUCUGAGAGGAUGAUCAGCCACACUGGAACUGAGACACGGUCCAGACUCCUACGGGAGGCAGCAGUGGGGAAUAUUGGACAAUGGGCGAAAGCCUGAUCCAGCAAUACCGCGUGGGUGAAGAAGGCCUUCGGGUUGUAAAGCCCUUUUGUUGGGAAAGAAAAGCGGCAGGUUAAUACCCCGCUGUUCUGACGGUACCCAAAGAAUAAGCACCGGCUAACUUCGUG